AGGUUUAGGUUUAGGUUAGGGAGUUGAGAUUGGGAUUUGGUGUAGGUUUAAGUUUAGGGAUUUGAGAAUAGGUUAAGGUUUAGGUUAGGGAGUUGAGAUAGGGAUUUGGUGUAGGUUUAGGUUUAGGGAUUUGAGAAUAGGUUAAGGUUUAGGUUUAGGAAAUUGGGUUCGGGUUCAUGUUCGGGAUCGGGUUUAGGUUUGGGUUUUCAAGUUUAGGUUUAGUUUUAGGUUAGGGAGUUGAGAUUAGAAUUUGGUGUAAGUUUAGGUUUAGGGAUUUGAGAAUAUGUUAAGGUUUAGGUUUAGGAAUUCGGGUUCUGGUUCGAGAUCGGGUUUAGGCUUGGGUUUUCAAGUUUAGGUUUAGGUUUAGGUUAGGGAGUUGAGAUUGGGAUUUGGUGUAGGUUUAGGUUUAGGGAUUUGAGAAUAUGUUAAGGUUUAGAUUUAGGAAAUCGGGUUUGGGUUCAGGAUCGGAUUUAGGAUUGGGUUUUCAAGUUUCGGUUUAGGUUUAGGUUAGGGGGUAGAGAUUGGGAUUAGGUGUAGGUUUAAGUUUAGGGAUUUGAGAAUACAUUUAGGUUUAGGUUUAGGUUUAGGUUUUAGCUUAUAGGUUUAGGUUAUAGGUUUAGGUUUUGGUUUUAGGUUUAGGUUAUAAGUUUAGGUUAUAGGUUAUAGGUUAAGGUUUAGGUUAUAGGUUUUGGUUUAGGUUAAGGUUAUAAGUUUUGGUUUAGG